GACGAACGCUGGCGGCGUGCUUAACACAUGCAAGUCGAACGGAAAGGCCCUGCUUUUGUGGGGUGCUCGAGUGGCGAACGGGUGAGUAACACGUGAGUAACCUGCCCUUGACUUUGGGAUAACUUCAGGAAACUGGGGCUAAUACCGGAUAGGAGCUCCUGCUGCAGGGUGGGGGUUGGAAAUUUUCGGCGGUUGGGGAUGGACUCGCGGCUUAUCAGCUUGUUGGUGGGGUAGUUGCUUACCAAGGCUUUGACGGGUAGCCGGCCUGAGAGGGUGGCCGGGCACAUGGGGACUGAGAUAGGGCCCAGUCUCGUACGGGAGGCAGCAGGGGGAAAUAUUGCACAGUGAGCGGGAGCCUGAUGCAGCAGCGCCGCGUGCGGGAUGACGGCCUUCGGGUUGUAAACCGCAUUCGCCUGUGACGAAGCGUGAGUGACGGUAAUGGGUAAAGAAGCACCGGCUAACUACGUG
rnacentral:rRNA from 1 species